AUUGUAGACAUGCUGUAUUAAGGAUGUAUUUAUGAAAAUUAAUUUCAAAGUUGAUUACUAUUUUAUUUAUGUGGGAAAGAUGAAUAAAAUAAAAUUUAGAAUUUUGUGUAUAUCAAGAGCAUAUUUAUGUCUUUUUUUAAAGAUUUUAUUUAAGGUAUACAAAUUCCAUGUAUUUCCUAUAUGCAGAUUCAGGAGCAUAGAGAUCUUUUCCACCCUACCCUCUCUCCUGCCCACACUCCCACCUUUCUUCAUCCUCCCUCUCCUUUUCAUAUGUUAAUUUUUACAAAGAUCGAUUUUCAGCAUACUUUAUAUUCAUAAUUAACUUUACACUAAGUAAAGACUUCAAGUAAUGUGAAUAAAAAGAAACACUGUUCCUCAGAAGUUGAGACAAGGGCUAUAAACAAUCAUUGAAUCACAAAAUAUCAAUUUCACUUGUAUACAUUACCUAUUAGGUAUUCUAUUAGUUACCACAGAUCAGGGAAAACAUAUAGUAUUUGUCUUUAGGACUGGCUAAUUUCACUAAGUAUUAUGGUUUUCGUUGUAUCUAUUUUGUUGCAAAUGAAAUAAUUUAAUUUUUUAUUUUUUUACCACUGAGUAGUAGUAUUCCAUAUUGUAUAUAUACCAUAACUAUUUUAUUUAAUUUUUAAAAUUAUUUAUUUGACAGAGUUACAGAGAAAGGCAGAAGCAGAGUGAGAGGUCUUCCUCUACUGUUUAUUCUUUAGCUGGCUGCAGUGGCUUCAGCAGAGCUGAUCUGAAUCCAAGAGCCAGGAGCUUCUUUCAGGUCUCCCUCAUGGGUGCAGGAGACUAAGGAUUUGGGCCAUCUUCUGCUGCUUUCCUAGACCAUAGCAGAAAGCUGGAUCAGAAGUGGAGCAGCUGGGACACAAACCAAUGCCCACACGGGGUGCUGGUGCCACAGCCCAAGUCUUUAACCCACUGUGCCAUAGCACCAGCCCUAUAAUUUCUUUAUCCAGUCUUUAGUUGAUAGACAUCUGGGUUUAUUACAUAUGUUAGCUACUGUGAAUUGAGCUGCAGUAAACUUGGGGGUACAGAUCACUCAUGUGCUGAUUUUGUUUCUUUUGGGUACAUUCCCAGGAGUGUGAUUGCUGGGUCAUAUGGUAGGUCUAUAUUCAGAUUUCUGAGGUAUCAACAUUCUGUCUUCCACAGUGGCUGUACCAGUUUACAUUCCCACCAAUAGUGGAUUAGGGUACUUUCCUUGAUGGUUAGUGAUCCAGAGCAUUUUUUUUUUUUUUUUUUUUUGACAGGCAGAGUGGACAGUGAGAGAGAGAGACAGAGAGAAAGGUCUUCCUUUGCCGUUGGUUCACCCUCCAAUGGCUGCUGCGGCCGGUGCACUGUGGCCGGUGCACCACGCCUAUCUGAAGGCAGGAGCUAGGUGCUUCUCCUAGUCUCCCAUGGGGUGCAGGGCCCAAGCACUUGGGCCAUCCUCCACUGCACUCCCUGGCCACAGCAGAGAGCUGGCCUGGAAGAGGGGCAACUGGGACAGAAUCCAGUGCCCCGACCAGGACUACCUGGGGUGCUGGCGCCGCAAGGCAGAGGAUUAGCCUAUUGAUCUGCAGUACCGGCCCCAGAGCAUUUUUUCAUGUGUCUGUUGGCCAUUUAAGUUUCCUCUUUGGAAAAAUGCCUGUUCAGGUCUUUGCCCAUUUCUUAACUGAAUUGUUGUGUUGUUGUUGAGGUUCUUGAGAUCUUUAUAGAUUUUGGAUAUUAAUCCUUUAUCAGUUGUGCAGUGUGCAUAUAUUUUCUUCUAUCCCGUUCUGCCAUUCAACUGUUCACUUUGCUGAGUGUUUCUUUUGUAGUGCAGAAGCUUCUUAGCUUGAUGUAAUGCCAUUUGUCAAUUGUGGCUUUGAUUGCCUGUGCCUCUGGGGUCUUUUCCAAGAAGUCUACCUAUGCCAAUGUCUUGCAGACUUUCCCCAAUGUUCUCUAGUGAUUUGAUGGUAUCAGAUCAGAAAUUUAGGUCCUUGGGGCCAGCACUGUGAUGUAGCAAGUAAAACCACUGCCUACAGUGCCAGCAUCCUCUGUGGGCACUGGUUCAAGUCCUGGCUGCUCUACUUCUGAUCCAGCUCUCUGCUAUGUCCUGGGAAAGCAGCAGAAGAUGGUCCAAGUCGUUGGACCCCUGCACCCACAUGGGAGACCUGGGAGAAGCUCCUGGCUCCUGGCUCCUGGCUUUGGAUCAGCUGUUGUGGCUAAUUAGGGAGUGAACCAGCGUAUACAAGACCUUUCUCUCUGCCUCUCCUUCUCUCUGGUAAUGCUUUCAAAUAAAUAAAUAAGUAAAUCUUGAAAAAAAUUUAGGUCCUUGAUCCAUUUUCAGUAGAUUUUUGUGUAAGGUGUAAGGUGAGAGUCUAGUUUCAUACUUCUGCAUGUAGACAUCCAGUUUUCCCAACACCAUUUUUUGAAGAGACUAUCCUUGCUCCAGUGAUUGAUUUUAACCCUUGUGUCAAAGAUGAGAUGGUUGUAGAUUGUGGAUUGAUUUCUGAAGUUUCUGAUAAUUGAUCUACAUGUCUAUUUUUUGCCAGUACCAGGCUGUUUUGAUUAUAACUGUCCUGUCCCAUAUGACUUGAAAUCAGAUCUGAGAAGAAUGUCAUUGGUAUUUUAAUUGGGAUUGCAUUAAUUUGUAAACUGCUUUCAGUAGUAUGGACAUUUUGAUGAUAUUCUUCCAAUUCAUGAACAAGGAAAUUUUUUCAUUUUUUUUGUGUUCUAUUUCUUUCUUUAAUGUUUUGUAAUUUUCAUCAUAGAGAUCUUCAACAUCCUUGGUUAAAUUUAUUCCAAGGUAUUUGAUUUUUUUUUUUUUUUUGGGUAGCUAUUGGGAAUGGGAUUGAUCUUAGAAAUUUUUCUCAACCAUGUCAUUGUCUGUGUAUACAAAGGCUAUUGAUUUUUGUGUAUUAAUUUUAUAUCCUGAAACUUUGCCAAACUCUUUUAGUGUAGUCUUUUGAUCCCCUAUAUACAUAAACAUGUCAACUGCAAAUAGGGAGAUUGACUUCCUCCUUCCCAAUUUAUAUCCCUUUGAUUUCUUUUUCUUCACUAGUGGUUCUGGCUAAAACUUGAAUAGCAGUGGUGAGAGUGGGCAUCCUUGUUUGGUUCCAGAUCCUAGUGGGAAUUCUUCUAACUUCCUCAUUCAAUAAGAUGCUCGCUGUAGGUUUGUCAUGAAUUACCUUGAUUGUAUUGAAGAAUGUUCCUUCUAUACCAGUUUGCUUAAAGUUUUCAUCAUGAAAGACUAUGUUUUAUCAGAUGCUCUCUCUGCAUAUAUUGAGGUAAUCAUGGUUUUUGUUUUUCAGUUUGUUAAUAUAUCACAUUGAUUUGCAAAUGUUGAACCAUCCCUGUAUACCAGGGAUGAAUCCCACUUGGUCCAAAUGAAUGAUCUUGCUGAUGUGAUAUUAGUUUUGAUUAGGUAGUAUUUUGUUGAGGAUUUUUACAUUUAUGUUCAUCAGGGAUACUGGUCUAUAGUUCUCUUUCUCUGUUGUUUAUUUUUCAGGUUUAGGAAUUAGGGAAAUGCUGGCUUCAUAGAAGGAGUUUGGAAGGAUUCCCUCCUUUUCGAUAGUUUUGAAUAGCUUGAGAAAAAAUGGAAUUAGUUCUUUAAAGUUUGGUAGAAUCCAGCAGUGAAAUCAUCCGGUUCUGGGCUUUUCUUUGUUGGGAGAGGCUUUAUUACUGAUUGAUUUUCCAUCUUGGUUAUUGGUCUGGUUUUCUUUGUCUUGAUGACUUAAGUUUGGUAGAUUGUAUGUGUGUAGGAAUCUAUCCAUUUCUUCUAGAUUUUCCAAUUUGUUGGCAUACAGCUCUGUGUAGUAAUUCCUGAUGAUUCUUUUUAUUUUUGUGGUAUCUGUUAUUACAUUUCCCUUUUCGUCUCUGAUUUUAUUUAUUAGGGUCUUCCUCUCAUUUUUGGUUUUUGGGCCAGUGGUGCAUCAAUUUUGUUUAUUUUUUCAAAAAACCAGCUCUUCAUUUCACUGAUAUUUUGUAUUUUAUUGUUUUAAUUUUGUUUGUUUAUUCUCUAAUUUUAAUUAUUUCUUUCCUCCUAAUUUUGGGUUUGCUUUGUUAUUUUUCUAGGUCCUUGAGACACAUUGAUAGCUCACUCAUUUGGUGCCUUUCCAAUUUUUUUUUUUUGGUUAUUUAUUUGACAGGUAGGGUUAUAGACAGAGAGAGAGAGAAAGGUCUUCCUUGUGUUGGUUCACUCCCCAAAUGGCUGAUACAGCCAGCACUGCGCCAAUCCGAAGCCAGGAGCCAGGUGCUCCUACCUGGUCUCCCAUGCGGGUGCAUUGUCCCAAGCACUUGGGCCAUCCUCCACUGCCCUCAUGGGCCAUAGCAGAGAGCUGGACUGGAAGAGGAGCAACCAGGACUAGAACCCGGUGCCCAUAAGGGAUGCCACCGCUGCAGGCAGAAGAUUAACCAAGUGAGCCACGACGCCGGCCCCUCCAAUUUCUUGAUGUAGGCACUAAAUGCUGUAAACUUUCCUCUUAACACUGCUUUGGCUGUGUCGCCUAAGUUUUGAUAUGUUGUAUUGUCAUCUUCAUUCAUUUCCAGAAAUUUUUUUAAAGAUUUAUUUAUUUAUUUGAAAGUCAGAGCUACACAGAGAGGAGAGGGAGGGAGAGAGGGAGUGAGGGAGAGAGGGAGAGAACCAUCCGCUGGUUCACUCCCCAGAUAGCUGCAAUGGCUGGAGCUGCAUUGAUCCAAGGCCAGGAGCCAGGAACUUCUUCCAGGUCUCCUUCAUGGGUGCAGGGCCACAAGGACUUGGGGCAUCUUCUGCUUUCCCAGACCAUAGCAGAGAGCUUGAUUGGAAGUGGAGCAGCCGGGACUCGAACCAGUGCCCAUAUGGGAUGCCAGCACUGCAGGUGGUGGCUUUACCUGCUACGCCACAGCACUGGCCCCCAUCCAGAAAUGUUUUUAUUUCUCUUUUGAUAUCUUCUAUGACUCACUAUUCAUUCAGGAGCAUAUUAUUCAUUUUUCCAUUUGUUUGCAUAUGUUUUUGAGAUUCUUAAGUUGUUCAUUUCCAGCUCAUUCCAUUGUGUUCUGAAAGGAUGCGUGUUAUUAUUUUUAUUUUUUGAAUUUGCUGAGACUUGCUUUAUGGCCUUACAUGUGGUCCUAGAGAAGUUCCAUGCACUGAUGAAAAGAAUGUCUAGUCUGUAACUGAGAGAUGAAAAGUUCUGUAGAUAUCAGUUGGGUCCAUUUGUUCCAUAGUGUCAAUUAGGUUUCUUGUUUCUUUGUUGAUUUUUGUCUAGGUGAUCUGUCCGUUGAUGAAAGUGGGGUGUUGAAGUCCCCCAUUACUAUUGUAUUGGAGUAUACAUCUCCUUUAGAUCCAUUUCAUUUAAUUAAUUUAUCUUUUUGAGAAAAGAUUUUAUUUACUUAUUAGAGAGAGGGAGAGACAGAGAGAAAGGUCUUCCAUCUGCUGUUUCACACCCCAAAUGGCCUCAGUCACCAGAGCUGGGCCAAUUCAAAGCCAGGAGCCUGGAGCCUCUUCAGGGUCUUCCACAUAGGUGCAGGGGUCCAAGCACUUGGGCCAUCCUCUGCUGCUUUCUCAGAGCAUUAGCAGGGAGCUGGAUUGGAAGUGGAGAAGCUGGGACUCAACUAGUGUUCAUAUGGGAUGCCAGCAAUGCAGGUGGAGGUUUAGCCACAGUGAUGGUCUCUGAUAUUUUAAAAUUUCUAAUUCUGAUAUAAAGUUGACAGAGGGAGAAGCAAAAUUGGGAGGAUGAAUGUUAUUCUUAGCAGUAUUUUUGGUCAUGUCAAGACAACAGCAUUAAGGCAUCACUAGAAAGAUGUCUUGUUGACAUUUGUGGUAGACAGAAGAGACAGAGCCUUCCACACGAUUCCAUUCAUCCUUGAGCUUCAUUACAUUUAUUUUAAAUAGCCAGGUGCCUUAUAAUUGGGUGCAGAUACAUUUAUUAUAGUCAUCUUCCUGUAGCAUUGAUUUCUUGAUCAUUACAUAGUGCCCUCUUUUAUCUCCUCUAACAGUUUUUGUGUUAAAGUGUAUUUUGUGUGAUAUUAGGAUGGCUACAUCUGCUCUUUUUUGCUUUCUGUUAGCGUUAAAUGUCUUUUUUUAUCCUUUUAGUUUGCAUGUGUCUUUGUUGGUGAGAUGUGUUUCUUGUAGGCAGCAAAUAGAUAGGUCUUGAUUUUUAAUCCAUUCAGCCUAUCUGUAUCUUUAAUUGGAGAAUUUAGGCCAUUUACAUUCAAGGUUAAAAUUAUAAGUAAUGACUUGGCCCUGCCAUUUUUCCAUAAAUAUUUCUGUUAUUUACUUUGUAUUUUCUUUGUACUUUUACUGGGAGAUAUUCUGCCUUUACAGUCUUUCACAAUGAUGACUCUCUGUGUUUCUGUGUAUAACACAUCCUUAAGUAUUUUUUUUAAGGUUUGACAAGUUGUGACAAAUUCUUUCAAUUUAUUUGUUAUGAAAAUUCUUUAUUUAACUUUCAUUAAUAAGUGAGAGCUUUGCAGGGUACAGUAUUUUGGGUUGACAGGUUUUUUUUUUUCUCUUAGAAUUUGAAUUAUAUCUGUUUUCUCCUAGCCUUUAGGGUUUCUGAUGAGAAAUCAGCUGUGAGUCUUAAUUGGAGAUCCUCUGAAAGUAAUCCAGUGCUUCUCUUGUGCACACUUUAGAAACUUUAUGUUUUACUGUUGAAAGUUUGAGACAAUAUGCUGUGGUAAAGAUCUUUUCUGGUCUUGUUUAUAAGGAGUUCUGUGCACCUUGUGUACUUGGAUAUCCCUUUCUUUCUCCAAAUUAGGGAAGUUUUCUGUAAUUAUUUUAUGAAAUAGGCAUUCUUAUUUACUCUGUCUUUCCACACCUUCAGGAACUCCUAAAGAAGCCUAUGUUGGGUUGUUUGAUAAAUCUCCAACACUGCUUUUAAUUUUUUUAAUUCCUUUUUUUUGAUCUGACUGAAAAAUUUCCAAUGAUUUGUCUUCUAGCUUGGGUAUUCUUUCUUCUGCCUCACCAAGUCUAUUGUUAAGAUUUUUCCCUGUAUUUUUUGACAUUAAAUUCUUCAUUUCUAAUAUUUUGUUCUGAUUUUGUUUCAUUGGAGAGUUUUUCAUUUAUGGUAUAUAUGGAUUUCUUUAAGAAUGUGCUUCUCAUUGCUUCUCAGUAAUCCUUUGGUUAAUCUUUUGAAUUCGCUUCAGGCAUUUCAUCAAUCUCUUCACCUGCCCAUUCUAAUAUUGAAGUGUUGUAUUCCUUUGGAGGCAUCAUGUUGUCUUCCUUAUUCUUGUUUCUUGAAUUUAUACAUUGAUUUUUAGGGAUUUGUGGAAAUACUUGUUGGUUUUUCUCCUGUGAUGAGUUUUAUCUUUGAACUGUGCCUCUGUAGCUUAGUGGAGUAUCUGCUCUUUCAGUGAAUACCCAGAGGCGUGUGCUGGGUGUGGCCAGGGGGCUCUGGUCUGUGCUGUUAGGUCAGGUGAGUAUCCAGAAUGACACUCAGUUUGGGCAACAUAGAUCUCUUCUAGUUGACAGAAAGCAGGGUCUGAUCACCUCUGCUGGCCUAAUCACACCCUCACCUCCUCUCUUCCAAGGUGAUCAAUGCCAGGUGUUAGCCCACAGUGAGUGCAAUACUCAUUUGCGUGUCCUUAUGAACUGCACAAAGGAUCUGUGCAAUCAUCAGAGCAGGGAUCCCACUGCAAAGACCCACCCCAGGCAGUCAGGUGCUCUGAGCAUGUGGUGCCACACACAGUGAUUGUUGAGACUUAGCUAAACCCUGCUCCUUCUCAAGCGGUCACAGAGUUCCCACAGUCUCAGCAGGCAGGGCUCCACAGAGGAUCCACUCUGCCCUGCUAGGCUGUCAUAUCCACAGAGAGGCUGAGAUAUUCCCAGAGUUUGCUGCCUGUGGGUGCUCUGCCGAGGCAAUUUGAGCCCUCGAGAUCUGUUGAGAGGCUGUGGGCACAUCACAGUCCUAUGUGUGUGCACAGCUCUUUGUCCUCCCAGCCAGACUCUGUCAGUGGGGAAUGGGGAUUUUUCCCUUGGUAAAAUCCCUGUAUCAUGUGCGUGCACAAGAGCUGCUGGCUACAGGCCUAGUCGUUUCACAACACCUUCUCCCUGCUGUUUUCUGAGCUCAUAGUAGUCUCUGCAGCCAGUACUAAUGUCAGGGUGGCUCCUUCUCCCUGACUGUUGCUGGGUGCAUGCAUCUGAACUCCUGUGGCAGCUCCUGGUGGCACGAUGGCAUCUUGUCUCUGCCAGUUGCUCAGUGCACACACAAGAGCUGAAGAGCUGCUACCUACUUACAUCCAAAAUGGCACCUGUCCUCUCUCAGCUGAUUGCCGGCUGCCAUUGUUGGGGGAUGGGGAGAGAGAAACAUGCCCCGUUUUUUCUGCUGGGUUAGUGGGCCCCCUGUUCCCUUCAGGGCUCUAGGCCAUACUCAAAGACAGUGUAGUCCGCUAGGCUGUCUCUCCAGCUAUAUCACCAGUGGCACUGGCUGCUGAGUCUCAUCUCAACUUGUUCUCCAAAGCUGGCACUUUCUUUGGCUCUCAGCUGCUGGGGUCAUUUGUUGUAUCCAUGUUUGUUGCUGCGUGUCUGCAUUUUCCACGUAGUUCCCAGGCAUCCCUCCUCUUGCAGAAUCUCCACUACAGUUUUCCUGCCGGCUCUCACCUGAGAAUGAAAUUUCUCCAGGUUUUUUUUAAUACUAUUUUAUCCUAACCUAGAGCAGUAUGCCCUUUCCCUAUUCUGCCGUCUUGGAUCCCUGGGUCAUUUAUGUCAUUUUUUAAUAAGCAGCCUGGGUAAUGCUGUAAGAUUUGAUAUAUAACAUCAUGAUAUAAAAGCUAUAGGAAGAACCCUGCUAUAAUAAAUUUCAUGGGAUUUCCAAAUUGAUAACAAGAGCAUCUUAAAUCAUCUCUGGACCAUCUUUUGAUUCUAGACUGAGGAAAUAGUGUAGAAAUAUUCUAACCAAAGUAAAAGUCUUUUGAACCCACUAAGUGUAUAUUCAUUGUCUCAUCAUUUCCUUUUGCAAUCUCCUGUUAUUUUUUGUAGUUUAGGGUUUGUUUUCACUACAUGGUAUGGUAUUAGGUAAGUUGAAGGAUGAUAUUAAAUGGCAAACAAUAUGGUUUUUUAAACAUUUUUAUUAAAUUUUAAAAAUAAAUUUUAUUUGAGAGGCAGAGUUAGAGAGAGAUACACAGAGAAAAGUCUUCCAUCUGCUGUUUCACUACCCAAGUGGCUGCAGCCAAUCCAGAGCCAGGAGUGAGGAGAUUCUUCAAGGUCUUCCAUGUGAAUGCAGGAGUCCAAACACUUGGGCCAUCUUCUACUGCUUUCCCAGGCCUUAGCAGAGAGCUGGAUUGGAAGAGAAGCAGCCAGGACUCAAACUGGUACUCAUGUGGGAUGCUGGCACCUCAGGCAGAGGCUUCGCCUACUGCACCAAAGUGCUGGCCCCAACAAUAUCAAUAUGCUUUUUUAUUUUUUUUUAACUUAUUUGACAGAUAGGGUUAGACAGUGAGAGAGAGAGACAGAGAGAAAGGGCUUCCUUCCGCUGGUUCACCCCCCAAAUGGCCACCACGGCCGGAGCUACACCGAUCAGAACCCAAGAGCAAGGUGCUUCCUCCUGGUCUCCGACACAGAUGCAGAGGCCCAAUCACCUGUGCCAUCCUCCACUGCCCUCCCGGGCCACAGCAGAGAGCUGGACUGGAAGAGGAACAGCCGGGACUAGAACCCAUUGCCCAUAUGGGAUGCCGGCGCCACAGGUGGAGGAUUAGUCAAGUGAGCCACGGCGUAGGCCCAACAAUAUGGUUUUAAAGAGGAUGAUGUGGAGGCAUCCCAUAUGGGCAAUGGGUUCUAGUCCCGGCUGUUCCUCUUCCAGUCCAGCUCUCUGCUGUGGCCCGGGAGGGCAGUGGAGAUGGCCCAGGUGAUUGGGCCCCUGCACCUGUGUUGGAGACCAGGAGGAAGCACCUUGCUCUUGGAUUCUGAUCGGUGUAUCUCCAGCCAUGGCAGCCAUCUGGGGGGUGAACCAGCGGAAGGAAGCCCUUUCUCUCUGUAUCUUCCUCUCACUAUCUAACUCUUACCUGUCAAAUUAAAAAAAAAAAGCAAAAAACCGAGGCUGAUGCUAGCUCUUCUCUCUUUAUGAAAUCUAAAAUUCAGGCAUUGAACAUAAGGCAUCAGGUGAAGAGAAAUCCUUUUAUAGAUAUGGUCCUUGAAGAGAGCAUUGAUGCUCAUUUUAAAUUGUAAUUAGUUUUUAAGUGUGCUAGAUUUUAUGAGUUGAAUCUAUAAGCCUGUAUUUUUGAAGCUUGCUGGGUAAUUGUAUAGAAUUUGCAGUAACAAAUUUAAAGGGUUAUGAAACAUAGAACAACUUUUUUUUAAAGAUUUAUUUAUUUAUUUGAAAGUCAGAGUUACACAGAGAAAGGAGAGGCAGAGAGUGAGAGAGGUCUUCCAUCCGCUGGUUCACUCCCUAGGUGACCACAACGGCCAGAGCUGUGCUGAUCCAAAGCCAGGAGCCAGGAGCUUCCUCCAGGUCUCCCACGUGGGAGCGGUGGCCCAAGGACCUGGGACAUCUUCCGCUGCUUUCCCAGGUCAUAGCAGAGAGGAGAGCUGGAUCAGAAAUGGAGCAGCCGGGACUAGAACUGGUGCCCAUAUGGGACUCGGGUGCUUCAGGCCAGGUUGUUAACCCGCUGUGCCAUAGCACCAGCCCCAGAACAACUUUUUUAAAAAAUCAAUUUUCUGUAUUGUGAUAUUUUCUAGCAAUGUUUAUUUUUUUAAUGUUUUCUUUUUUCUUUCCUAUUUUUUUUAAACUUUUAUUUAAUAAAUAUAAAUUUCAAAAGUACAAUUUUUGGAUUAUAGCGGCUUUUCCCCCCAUAACCUCCCUCCUACCUGCAACCAUCCCCACUCCCUUUCCCAUCCAUUUUUCAUCAAGAUUCAUUUUCAAUUAUCUUUAUAUACAGAAGAUCAACUUGAUAUAUACUAAGUAAAGAUUGUAAUAGUUUGCACCCACACAGAUGCACAAAGUAUAAAGUACUGUUUCAGUAGUAGUUUUACUUUUAAUUCGUAUAGUACAAGACAUUAAAGGACAGAGAUCCUACAUGGGGAGCAAGUGUACAGUAACUCCUGUUGUUGAUUUAACAAUUGACACUCUUAUUUAUGACAUCAGUAAUCACCUGAGGCUCUUGUCAUGAGCUGCCAAGGCUAUGGAAGCCUCUUGAAUUCACCAACUCUGACCUUAGUUAGAUGAGGCCAUAAUCAAAAUGGAAGUUCUCUCCUCCCUUCAGAGAAAGGUACCUCCUUCUUUGAUGGCCCGUUCUUUCCGCUGGGAUCUCACUAACAGAUCUUUCAUUUAGGUCUUUUUUUUUUUUUUUUUUUUUGCCAGAAUGUCUUGGCUUUCCAUGCCUGAGAAACUCUCAUCAGCUUUUUAGCCAGAUUGGAAUGCCUUAAGGGCUGAUUCUGAGGCCAGAGUUCUAGCAGUGUUUAAAGCUAAAAAUUGUCUUUUGCAACUUUUAAAUUUUACAAGAAAGUAUUUCUUAAGGUAUAACACUAGAUGGUAGUAAAAAUCCACACAGAAAAAUGUGAUAAAAAUAUUAUUUGAUUCUUAAGUGAUCUCUUUACCUCUAUAGGUUUUUCUAUAUGGUAGAGUUUAGUUUUAUGUUGUUUUAAAAAUCUGAUGACAUUACCACACAAAUUUGCAUAAACUAUAUUUUUACACAUUUAUUUUUACUGUUUUCAUUUAUUUUACAUAUCAUCAUGUAUCAUUUUGUUUUGUUCUUUAUUUUUUUUAGAUUAUUUAUUUGAAAGCCUGAGUGACAGAGAUCUUCCAUCCAGUGGUUCAUUCCUCAAAUGGCACAAUAGCCAGGACAGGGCUGGGCCGAAGCCAGGAGCCUGGAACUCUAUCUAAGUCUCCCAUGCAUAUGGCAGGGGCUCAAAUACUUGGAGUAUGUCCUUCAUUGCUUUUCCCAGGCACAUUAGCAAGGAGCUGGGUCAGAAGUGGAGCAGCCAGCAGUCAAACUGGUAUUCUAGUAUGGCAUGCUUAGGUCACAGGUGGCAGCUUAACAAUGCCAGUCCCAGUUUUGUACUUUCUGUUGCUGUCAGAAGCAAGGUGUAACUGUCCAAAUUCAAAUGAGUCCUAACUCAUUUUUAUGAUAGUAAAUGUAGCAAACUGAGUUUGUACUUAGUAAGACUUGCUAGAGCAUUUGUGAAAAUGAUUGGAUUUGAAUUCAUUUUCAGAACCUGAAUUUUCAGAGAGCUAUUUAAAUCUUGAAAAAAUAAUUUAAUUUCAACUGCAAAAGUGAGAGGGGAGAGGGGAUCUUGCAUCUGCUGGCUCACUUCCCAAACAGCCAGGGAGAGGGAGAGGGAUCUUCCAUCUGCUGGCUCACUUCCCAAAUAGCCAGAGCUGAGCUGAUCCAAAGCCAGGGGACAAAAGCUGUUUCCGGGUCUUCCACAUGGGUGCAGGUGCCUGAGGACAUCUUUUGCCACUUUCCCAGAUGCUUUAGCAGGGAGCUGGAUGAGUAGAGCAGCCAAGACUUGAACUGGCACUCAUGUGGGAUGCUAGGGCUUUAACCUGCUAUGCUAUAGCAGUGGCACCAAUUUUAUUUUUUAGAAAGGAUUCAUUUUAUUUAUUUGAAGGGCAGAGUUACAGAGAGAGGGGGUAAGGGAGGGAGGUCUUCCAUCUGCUGGUUCACUUCCCAAAUGACUGCAAUGGCUAUGGCUGGACUAGUCCAAAGUCAGGAGCUACUUUGUAGUCUCCCAUGUGGUUGCAAGGGCCCAAGCAUUUGGCUUUCCCAGAGUCAUUAACUGGGAGCCAAAUUGGAAAUGGAGCAGCUGGGACUCAAGCUGGUGCCCGCAUAGGAUGCUGGCACUGCAGGUGGCGGCUUAACCUAAUACGCUGCAAUGCUGGCCCUAUGAUUUUAUAUUUUUAAACAGAUCUUUAUUAAGUUGUUGCUUUCUCUUGUACAUUUAAAUUCAAACAUAUUUUAAAGCAAAAUUUUAUAUAAAAUCAGUACAAGAAGAGGAAUUUAAGGUAUGGAAUGAAAAUAUGAACAGUAUUAACUUUUUUGAAACUACAGCUACUUGCUAGAAGUUAAAUUGUUCUGAAAGUUUAUUACCAAAAUUUAAAAGUUAAACCAACUUACGUGAACAGGAAACAACUAUUCAGGGGCCGGCGCUAUGGCGCAGUAGGUUAAAGCCCUGGCCUGAAGCACCGGCAUCCCAUAUGUGAGCUGGUUUGAGUCCCUGCUGCUCUACUUCCGAUCCAGCUCUCUGCUAUGGCCUGGGAAAGCAGUGGAAAAUGGCCCAACUGUUUGGACCCCUACACCCGCAUGGGAGACCCAGAAGAAACUCCUGGCUCCUGGCUUCGGAUCAGCGCAGCUCCGGCUGUUGCAGCCAUCUGGGGAGUGAACCGGAGGAUGAAAGAUCUCUCUCUCUGUCUCCACCUCUCUCUGUAACUCUUUGAAAUAAAUAAAAUAUCUUAAAAAAAAAAAAAAAAAAAAAAAGGAAACAGCUAUUCAUUCUGCCGCAUCGACCAAAUGCAAAGCUGUAGUCAUUGCUUCAGCUGACCUCUGUUUGCUCAUUCAGGUGGUUCCUUUUUCAGUUACUUGUCAAAUUAGUACAAAUAAAGUCUCUUUAUUUUCUUUUAUUUAGUAUCGUUUCAUAUAUUAUUUCUAGGUCUUAUCCCAGUUUAUAGACAACUCUUAGAGACUUAAUUGAUAUUUUAGUCAGACUUAAUUUCUGUAUCCAUCCCCAAGUGCAGCCUUCUCUGUGGCUCUUCUUUUACCAAUUAUUUACACAAAAAGAAAAGGAAAAUAUAGCUUAAAUAAAAUUUACAAAUGCUUUAAAAGUUUGUUGGUCUUUACCUCUUCUGUUAUAUUUUGUAGUUAUUUCUAGAUUUAAUUUAUAUUCUACUUCAGUAGCAUGAGAGUAAUUGUGCAGGCUCUUCUUAAAUCUGAGUAUUUUCCUGCUCUUUGGAUCUUCAUAAACGCUUAUAAUUGUGAACUGCCUCACUAGAGAGGAAAUGAAGAACAUCUUUUUAUUGGAAAUUUAUAGAGGUCCUUAAAAUUAGACUAUAAUUUCAAAUGUUUCUUCUUGCUUAGAUCUGCUAGUGUUUUCUCCCUUAGUCUUAGAAGAUUCAAUGAUUCUCUUCUUAAAAUUUUUUUUUAUAUGUGUGUUGAGAUGAGUUCUAUCACAAAGUACCUGGAAUUAGGCCAAACUUCAGAGGUUAAGGGCACAGUCCUGAAUAUGACUGCCCUUAUUUCAGAUACCAUUCUGAAGUUUGGGGUCCCCAUAUCACCCUUAAAGAUGUAGAUGCUACCACUAUCCCUUUAGGUUUGAUAAUGCCUUAGAGCUGUUCACAGGAACAUGCUACACUUAUGAUUGUAGUUUGGUUACAGCUGAAGAACACAAAUCAGAAGCAGCCAAAUGGAAAGACAAAUACUGUGGGGUCUUAGAAGGUCUAGAAGACACAUGAAGCUUCCAUUGUCCUCAGGGAUGUGUCACUCUCCUGGCAUCUUGAUGCAUGACACAGCAGAGUAUUGCCAACUGAAGGUUUUUUUUUUUUUUAAUUAUUAUAGAAAACAUUUAAUGGUACCCAUUUUUUAAUGUACUGAACAAUAAUGUUAACUACGUGCAUGUUUUGUGUCACAGAUUUUUAAAACUUUUUAAUCUUGUAAGACAAACUAUAAAUACUGAACAAUAUCAUUCUCUUGUCACCUAGCCAUUCUUCCUAGGACUUUGACUUUUUUUUUUAAAGAUUUAUUUAUUUGCUUGAAAGGCAGAGUUACGUAGAGGUGGAGGGUGGGGUGGAGGGGACUUCCAUCUGCUGGUUCACUUCCCAGAUGGCUGCAGUGGCUGGAGCUGUGCUGAUCUGGAGCCAGGAGCUUCUUCCAGUCUCCCAUGUUGGUGCAGAGGCCCAAGCACUUGGGCCAUCUUCUACUGUUUUCCUAUGCCAUAGUUGAGAGCAGGAUCAUAAGUGCAACAGCUCGGACAUGAACCUGAGCCCAUAUGGGAUGCUGGCACUGCAGGCAGCGGCUUUACCCCCUGUGUCACAGCGUUGGCUCCAGUUUGACUGUUUAGAGAUCUUGUAAGUGGGAGCAUGUGCUAUUUGUCCUUUAGUGACUGGCUUAUUUCACUCAGCAGAAUGCCUUCAAAGUUCAUCCAUGAUUUAGCAUGUGUUAGAAUUUCCUUUCUAAAGAGUGAGAAAUACUCAAUUGUAUGUGUGUAUCACAUUUUCUUUAUCCAUUCAUUCUUUAGUGGAACCUCCACAGUGUUACCAAUAGUGAUACACCAUUUUACAUUCCAGUUGUGGUCAGUGGCACAUACUUUCUAUAUAUCUAUUCUCACCAACACGUUUUUUGUUUUAUUUUUAGAUUUUUAGCUAUUUAUUUGAGAGGCAGAAUAAGAGAGGAAAGAGCUUCCAUCCACUGGUUCACUCCCCAAAUGCUGACAAUAGCCAGGAUUGUGCUGGGCUAAAGCUGGUAGCCAACAAUUCAAUAAUCUAGGUCUCCCGCAUAGGUGGCAAUGAUGUGACCCAGCUAACUUGAGCUAUCACGUACUACCUCCCAUGAUAUGUUGAUAGCAGGAAGCUAGAGUCAGGAGCUAGAACCGGGUAUCCAACCCAGGCACUCCCAUAUAGGAUGUGGACAUGUAGAUAUAUUUAACCUGUGGCUAAACCACUAGGCCAAAUGCCAGUCUUUUUCUUUUCUUUUUUUUUUUUUUUUCUCUUGAUACUGGCCAUCCUAAAGGACUUGAGUUGAUAGAUAUCUCAUUAUGGUUUUGAUUCACAUUUCCCUAAUAUUAGUGAUAUUGAGUAUUUUUUUCAAAUGCUUUUUGGCCAUUUGUAUAUCUUCUUUGGGAGAAUGGUCUAUUUAAGUUCUUGGCCUAUUUUUAAAAACACUAAUUUCAGAGGGAGGGAGGGAGACAAAAAAGAGAGGGAGAGACUGUAUAAAGAGAGAGUGUUGAUGGGGCUGGCGCCGUGGCUCACUUGGUUAAUCCUCCGCCUGCAGCGCUAGCAUCCCAUAUGGCUGGCGGGUUCUAGUGUCAGCUGCUUCUCUUCCAAUCCAGCUCUCUGCUAUGGCCCGGGAAGGCAGUGGAGGAUGGCCCAAGUGCUUGGGACCCUGCACCCACCGCGGAGACCAGGAGGAAGCACCUGGCUCCUGGCUUCGGAUUGGCGCAGUUCCAGUUGUAGCGGCCAUUUUGGGGGGUAAACCAACGGAAGGAAGAUCUUUGUCUCUGUCUCACUGUCUUUAACUCUGCCUGUCAAAUAAAUAAUAAAAAAAAUAAAACGAAUGUUCCCUUCUACUAUGUUCAGUCCCCAAAAGCUCUCAGCCACUAAGGGGCCCAAGCUGGGAACUCACUCCAGGUCUUCCAUAUGAUUGGCAGAAACCCAACUACUUGAACCAUUACAGAUGCCUCUCAGGAAGGUAGAAACUGAAGGUGCAGCUAGAAGUCAAACCCAGGCACUCUGAUGUGGGAAGUGGGUAUCCUAAUUGGUAUCUUAACCACUAGGCCAAAUACCUACUCUAUUUUGUCCAUUUUUAAAUUGUACUGUAUGGCUUGCAAAUAUUUUCUCCCUUUCUGUAGAUUUCUUUUUCACUUUGUUGAAUGUUUCCUUUGCUGCACAGAAGUAUUUAAGUUUGGUAUGGUCACAUUUGUCUUGUCACAUUUGACUCUUGUUGCCUGUGCUUUUGGUGUUGGAUGUAAAAAAUUGCUAAACCUAGUGUCAUGAAGUUUUCUUCUGGGAGUUUUAUUGUUUCAGAUCUUACAUUUAGGUCUUUAACAAUUGUGAGUUAAUUUAAGAUAACAAGGUCAGGGUCCAAUCUCAUCUUUUCUACAUGUAGAUACUCUAUUUUCCCAGUACCAUCUGUUUUCCACUGGUAGCUUUGGCACUUUUGUUGAAGAAUAUUUAAGCAUAUAAAUGAAGAAUUAUUAUUAUUAUUUUUUUUUUGACAGGCAGAGUGGACAGUGAGAGAGAGAGACAGAGAGAAAGGUCUUCCUUUGCCGUUGGUUCACCCUCCAAUGGCUGCCGUGGCCAGCACGCUACGGCCGGCGCACUGCGCUGAUCCGGUUGCAGGAGCCAGGAGCCAGGUGCUUUUCCUGGUUUCCCAUGGGGUGCAGGGCCCAAGCACCUGGGCCAUCCUCCACUGUACUCCCUGGCCACAGCAGAGAGCUGGCCUGGAAGAGGGGCAACCGGGAAAGAAUCCAGCGCCCCAACCGGGACUAGAACCCGGUGUGCCGGCGCCGCUAGGCGGAGGAUUAGCCUAGUGAGCCGCGGCGCUGGCCAAGAAUUAUUUCUAUGCUCUCUAUUCCAUUGGUCUAUAUGUCUGUAUUUAUGAGAAUACAUUAUUGUUUUGCUUACUAUAAUUUUGUAAUACGGCUUGAAAUCAGGAACUGUGAGGCUGUUUUGGCUUUUCUGGGUUAUUUAAGAUUACAUGUGAAUUUUAGAGUGUUCUUUUUCUCCUGCAAAGAAAAAAAAUGCCAUUGAGACUUUGAAGGAUUGCAUUGUAUCUAAAGAUUGCUUUGGAUAGUAUGUACAUUUUAACAGUAUUAUGUAUCCUACUUGGUGAACCCAAGAAGUCUUUCCAUUUGUUUUGUGUGUUGUCUUUAAUUUCUGCCAGCAGUGUUUUUUAGUUGUCAGUGCAUAAAUCUUUCACCUACUUGGUUACAUUUACUCUUAAGCAUUUUGUUCUUUUUUACGUUACUGUAAAUGGGAUUUCUUUUCCUCUAUUUCCUUUUCUGGUUGUUCACUAUUAGUGUAUUGGAAUGCAAUUGAGUUUUGUUUGUUGAUUUAGUAUCCUACAGUUGCUCUGAACUUGUUUAACAUUUGGGUGUGUAUAUGUGUGUGUGUAAUCUUAAGGGUUUUCUAGUCAUCUUGUCUGUGAUCAAAGGUAGACUUUUCCCUUUUCUCUACAGAUCCUUUCUGUUUUUCUUAUCUAAUUACUAUGGCUGAUACUUCUAACUCUUUAUUGAAUGGAAGUGACAAAAAUGGAUAUCCUUGCUUUUUUGCUGAUGAUAGAGGAAAAGUUUUCGGUUUUUGGCAUUUGAGUAUGAUGUGGGCUACAGGCUUUAUAUGUUUGACCUCUUGUAUAUUGAGGUAAUUUCUAUUCUAGUUUUUUUUUUUAACAUCAUGAAAGGGUGUUGAAUUUUGUCAAGUGCUUUUUCUAUAUCAAUUGUGAUGAUUGUAAAUUUUGUUUUUCAUUAUGUUAAUAUGGUAUAUUACAUUGAUUUUUGUAUAGUGGGCAAUCUGCCCCACAGAAAUAAAUUCUACUUGUUUUUUUCUUUUCUUAAAGAUUUAUUUAUUUGAAAGAGUUACACAGAGAGAGGAGAGGCAGAGAGAGAGAGGGGUCUUAUAUCCGAUGGUUCACUCUCCAAUUGGCCGCAACAGCUGAAACUGUGCUGAUCUGAAGGCAGGAGCCAGGAGCUUCUUCCAGGUCUCCCACGCUGCUGCAGGGGCUCAAGGACUUGGGCCAUCUUCUACUGCUUUCUUAGGUCAUAGCAGAGAGCUGGAUAGGAAGAGGAGCAGCUGGGACUCGAACCAGUGCCCAUAUGGGAUGCUGGCACUGCAGGUGGUGGUUUACCCACUACGCCAUAGCACCGGCCCCUCUACUUGGUCUUGAUGUAUAAUCCUUUCAAUAUGUUGUUGAAGUUAGUUUGCUAGUAUUUUGUUGAGGUUUUUUAUGACAUCAUUCUUCAAGAGAUCAGCCUGUAGUUUUCUUGUACUUUGUCUGACUUUAGUAUCAAGGUAAUGCUGGCUUCCAUGGAAGAAUGAAAAGGUUUCCAUUCUUUUCAUUUUUUCAACAAGUUUGAGAGGGUUGAUAUUAAUUCUUAUUGAUAUGUUUGGUAAUUUCUUCUGUGAAGCCAUCUGGUCCUGAGCUUUUCUAUCCUUGGAGGUUUUUGUUUACUGAUUCAGUCUCAUUACUAGUUAGAAAUCUGUUCAGGUUUUUUCCGCUCUCCAUGAUUCACUAUUGGUUGUUGGGGCCAGCAUUGUGGUAUAGCAGGUAAAGCUGCAGUCUAUGAUGCUGGCAUCCUAUGUGGGAACCAGGUCAAGCCCCACCUGUUCUACUUUUAAUCCAGCUCCCUGCUGAUGGGCUGGGAAAAGCAGGGGAGGAUGGUCUAGGCAAGGUACCUGCCACUCAUGUGGGAGAUCUGGAUGAAGCUCUUGGCUGGCUCAGCCCUGGCUGUUUUGAUCAUCUGGGGGAAUGAACCAGUGACUGGGAGUACUCUCUCUCUGUGGCUCUUGACUUUCAAAAUAAAUAAGUAACUUUAAAAAAAGAAAUCUUGGUAGGUUGUCAUGUUUCUAGAAAUUUAUCCAUUUCUUCUAAGUUGUCUAAUUUUUGGUGUUUAAUUGUUCACAGUGAUCCCUUAGGAUCCACUCUGUUUCUGUGAUAUCAGUUGUAAUGUCUUUCAUUUUUUAUUUUUGUCAUUUGAUGUUUUUUCUUAGUCCUAUUGAGUUUGGCAAUUUUACUGAUCUUUUUAGUGAGCUCUUAAUUUUGUAAUUGUGUCUAUUAUUUUUCUCUUCUUGAUUUAUUUAUGCUCUAAUCUCUUAUGAUUUCCUUCCUUUUGGUAAUUUUGGGUUUAUUCUUUUUUAGUUCUUUAUGGCAUAAAUAAGUAGCUGAGUGCUUUUUCUCAAUGGUCAUGAGUGUGUUGGCUCCUUUCCAGGCUAUUGGAAGUUUCCUGGUGCUUUCAAAAAUUUCUGUGCUCUUGUUCUCACAGACCCCCAAAUACUUAAGGAAUGCUGGUUUCCCAUCAGCACUCAAGUGAGAUAGAAACUAGUUCCUAGGACAGCUCUGUGAAAAGCUGGUAUGUUGGACAUACGUUCCACUCUUCUGUUUCCCUCCCAAGGAAGAAGGCUUGCCUUUUCUUAAUCCCAAACUAUGUCAAUUUGGGAGGGCUGCUGUGGAUGAAAAGAAAUGACUUUUCAUACCAGUUUCAGUGUGGGUGUUCUUGGCUUUGAACAUUCUUGGGGUACUGCUACUUCUCCUGAUUGGUUGCUGCCAUUGACAUUGAAGGCUUUUUGGACUGCAUAUUGUUAAGUUGGUGUUUUGGCUGGGGAACGAGGUCUUGAGCUUCCUGUUUUACUAUUUACUGACUCAGUGUCCAGAAUUUUUUACUGGGAUUUUGUGAUCGAGAUAUCACUUUGAAUUCUUGGCAGUUUAACUGACUUGAUCCUCAGGCCCUUUUCUGCCAUGUAGAUUGGGCUGAUUAUCACAUGGCUGAAAGCCUCAACCAUCUCAUCCUAUUAUUCUUCUUUCUGGCAGGGCUCUGGCUAUCUGAGUCACAUCUGUAGCAUAAUGUAUCUAGGUGCUCACCAUGAGUCUCCCUAUUUAGAAUAGCUUAAAGGGCAGUUGGAGGAUUUAGAAGUGACUUCCUAUACACUGAAGAUAAAGAACAACCAAAUUCUUUGGUAUACUUCUUUGUUGAAAUAUAAUGAUAUAGUACACAAUCUUUUUUUCCCUAGAUAAUAGUUAAUUCUCUCUCUCUCUCUUUUUUUUUUCUUUUGACAGGCAGAGUGGUGGACAGUGAGAGAGAGACAGAGAGAAAGGUCUUCCUUUUUCCAUUGGUUCACCCCCCAGUGGCCGCUGCGGCCGGCGCACUGUGCUGAUCCAAAGCCAGCAGCCAGGUGCUUCUCCUGGUCUCCCAUGCGGGUGCAGGGUCCUUGGGCCAUCCUCCACUGCACUCCUGGGCCACAGCAGAGAGCUAGACUGGAAGAGGAGCAACCGGGACAGAAUCCGGCGCCCCGACCAGCACUAGAACCCGGUGUGCGGGCGCCGCAGGCUGAGGAUUAGCCUAUUGAGCUGCGGCGCCAGCCAGUUAAUUCUCUUAAGAAAUGAUAGAUUUUCUUCUUUUGGUUAUUGUUUAAGCUAUUUGAAGAACUGUUUUAUUCUCCAAACAGUAAUGAAUGCAACACUAUGAGGGGACUGUAAAAAACUGGUGGAAGAAUAAAAUAAAAAUAAGUUUAUUUUUUGUACAAAAAUUUUUUAGAAUUCAUGCAGUUUUUUGGUAUACAUUUCCAUGAACAACUUUUUAUAAUGAAUUCAAAUCUGAUAAUUUAAAAUUUUUUUACUUAUUUGAAAGACAGACACACAUAUACACAGAUAUCUUCCACCUCCUGACUUACUCAAUGAAUACUCACCACAGCCUAAUCUGGGCCAGACUGAAGCCAGGAACCCAGUACUUAGUCCCACAUAGGUGGUCACAGCCCAAGUUCCUGAGCCAGCACCAGUGCCUCUCAUGGUGCACAUUUGUAGGAACUUAGAAUUGGAGGCAGAGCCGGGACGGAACCCAGACACUGAUUUGAGAUGUGGAUAUCCCAAGUGGCAUCUUAACUGCUGCACCAUAUACUCACCCCUUCCAUGAACUCCCAUGAACACCUCAUAUUCCUUUAAAUUACACCUUAAACGAGUAUGUUACUGAAACAUUAGUUAGGAUAGAAAAUUGAAAUUAGUCUUUAGAUUUUUCUUUUUUAAAAAUGAAAGUCAUAUUCUUUUUCUGAGUAUAAGAGAAAUGGUUAUCUUCUUAGAAUUGUCUAUGAAAUACAUGAAAUCUAUUCUCUUUAUAUUAAUAAAAAUUUAAAAAAGAUAAAAGGGGGCCGGCAUUGUGGCAUAGAAGUUAAGCUUCUGCCUGUGACUUUGGCAUCCAGUAUGGCUGCCAGUUUGAGACCUGGCUGCUUUACUUCCCAUCCAGCUCCCUGCUAAAGCACCUGGGAAAGCAAUGGAAGAUGGCUCAGGCUUGGGCCCCUGCAACCAUGUGGGAGACCCGGAAAAACUUGAGCUUCUUAGCUUCAACCUGGCCCAGCCCCAGCCAUUGGGGCCAUUUGGGGAGUGGAUGAGCGGAUGGGAGAUAAUCUCUCUUUUUCUCUCUUUUUCCUCCUUUCUUUGUAACUCUGCCCUUCAAACAAAUUUAAAAAAAAAAAGGAAAAGAAAAAAUGUUUUUUUGGUAAAAAAUUAUUUUGGAAAACAGUCACAAUUGAAGUCUUUUCAUAUUCAUAUUUUUUUCACUUUUGUUUUUGUUUGUGUCAGUAGUGGACACAUUUAAACUCACUUAUGUUAAAAAAACACUUUAGUUAGGGGCCGGCACUGUAGCUUUACAGGUAAAGCCCCUGCCUGCAGUGCCAGCAUUCCCGUGUGGGUGCUGGUUAGAGUUCCGGCUGCUCCACUUUCGAUUCAGCUCUCUGCUAUAGUCUGGGAAGCAAUAGAACAUGGCCUAUGUCCUUGGGCCCCUGCACCCGCGUGGGAGACCCAGAAGAAGCUCUAGGCUCCUGGCUUUGGAUCGGUGCAGCUCCAGCUGUUGCAGCCAACUGGGGAGUGAACCAUUGGAUGGAAGACCUCUCUCUUUCUCUGCCUGUCCUCUCUCUGUGUAACUCUGACCUUCAAAUAAAUAAAUACAUCUUUUAAAAAAACACUUUUAUUAAUAUCAUCUAGGCCUUUGCAUAGUUUUUUUCUACAUAACACUACAUAUACAUAACUCCUUAUGUAACCUACUAGAGUUCAUUAUCUUCUGAUGCUGUUAAUCUUUAGUAAUAUGGUUUUAUAAUUUCCCUAUUUUUGCAUGUUAAGAUUAUUCCCAGCUUUGCAUAAGUUAGCAACUCCAUUGUAUUUUUUGUUUUAAAUUUUUUUCUUUAUUGAUUUUAAAGUAUUAAAAAGUUUGUAACUUCAUUAUUAGUACUGUUUACUAUCUGUAUUGUUCAUUAUAAUAGCCAGAGCUGUUCUUAACAAGGCAGUUAACAUUCCUUUGUAUUGAUGUACAGUAGCCUGGAAGCUUGGAAAAUCUGGAACUUUUCCCCUUGAUUUUCUCUUUCAAAAUAUCAAGUCUGUUUACAUGAUUGUCAAUAUUUAUACUUUAAGCCAGCAGUGGGGUAUGUCUGCCUGGUGUGCCAUAUAAAACCGAUGAAAUCAUUUGGUCUGGUUCCUGCCAAAGCAGCAUCAGGCAGGACUCAAAAAUCAGUAAAUCUAUAGCAGGCUAAUCUUUUUUUUUUUUUUUGGACAGAGUGGACAGAGAGACAGAGAGAAAGGUCUUCCUUUUGCCGUUGGCUCACCCUCCAGUGGCCGCCAUGGCCAGCGAGCCGUGGUCGGCGCAUCGCGCUGAUUUGAAGCCAGGAGCCAGGUGCUUCUCCUGGUCUCCCAUGCGGGUGCAGGGCCCAAGCACUUGGGCCAUCCUCCACUGCACUCCCUGGCCAUAGCAGAGAGCUGGCCUGGAAGAGGGGCAACCGGGACAGAACCGGCGCCCCGACUGGGACUAGAACCUGGUGUGCUGGCGCCGCAAGGCGGAGGAUUAGCCUAUUGAGCCAUGGCUCCAGCGCUAAUUCUUAAGUUGAUCAUUUUGUAUGACCUGUAAAUGACGUUGUAGAUAUCUAAAUGGUCCUUGGCAGAAAAGAGGUUCCCACCCCCUGCUUAAGAAUAAUACUUUGUUUCUUAUAAAAAAUGUACAGGUUAUAUUUCUUGUAUAUAUUCAAAUUUACUUACUUGGAAUAAGAUUUUGUGUGUAUUUUUAAAUUUUUUUUCCUUCACAGCUAUACCAUAAUCUUCCUCUUCUUUUUCAUGCUUUUUCCAUUGUUUCAGUUUGGCGUUUGGAUUAACGCGAAGAGAUUGAGGACAAAAUCUAAAGUAAAUUUUAAAAUAGAGAUGGGAAAUAAUGGAUACUUCAGUCUCACAGCGUGCAUAGAGAGGUUUUAAAAUUUUAUUGAUGGCUCUAAAAUGAAAUCUAGAUGUUUUGGAUGUUCCCUU